rnacentral:rRNA from 1 species
AACGAACGCUGGCGGCAUGCCUAACACAUGCAAGUCGAACGAGAUCUUCGGGUCUAGUGGCGCACGGGUGCGUAACGCGUGGGAAUCUGCCCUUUGGUUCGGAAUAACAGUUGGAAACGACUGCCAAUACCGGAUGAUGACGAAAGUCCAAAGAUUUAUCGCCAGAGGAUGAGCCCGCGUAGGAUUAGCUAGUUAGUGUGGUAAAGGCGCACCAAGGCGACGAUCCUUAGCUGGUCUGAGAGGAUGAUCAGCCACACUGGGACUGAGACACGGCCCAGAAUCCUACGGGAGGCAGCAAUGGGGAAUAUUGGAAAAUGGGGGAAAGCCUGAUCCAGCAAUGCCGCGUGAGUGAUGAAGGCCUUAGGGUUGUAAAGCUCUUUUACCCGGGAUGAUAAUGACAGUACCGGGAGAAUAAGCUCCGGCUAACUCCGUGCCAGCCGCCGCCGUAA